rfam:Caenorhabditis brenneri strain PB2801 C_brenneri-6.0.1_Cont8.37, whole genome shotgun sequence.
GUAACAUCUGAGGUAGUUUGGAAAUGCUGUCGACGCAUUGUGAUGUCAACAACAUUUCAACUAACUCGGCUGUUUC